UGCCAAAUGGCUGUAACUGUAUCUGUGUGCAAAUUGUUUACAAAUUGCCUGUGAAAAUGGAAAUGCUUCCCUGACGUCAUUUGGAUACUAGUGCCACGCCUUGCGGCGCCCCGUUCAGAAUCACCUGGCAUUUGCAUAGUGUUCACAAACGUAACAAUUGUCCGUCAUUGGUUUAAGCAGUUCCUGUCAAACUGUACAUGGGCCGGCGAAUACUUACCGAAGAACAAAAACAAACACGAGUUCGCUUUGAUGUUUACGCAGCCUCCAGCAGAAACUUUGAACUUGAAUUGUCCUUUCUGGCGGCGGCAGGGUAUGUUGUUCGGC